rnacentral:rRNA from 1 species
ACCUGGUGAUCCUCCCAUAGUCAUAUGCUUGCUCAAAAAUAAGCCAUGCAUGUAAUAUGAACAAAUUCAGACUGAAACUGCGAAUGGCCAUUAAAUCAUAUAGUUUUGAUGUAUCUGCUACUCGAAACCGUAAAUCUAGAGCUAAUACUGCAACAAACCCCGACUCUGAAGGAGCAUUAUAAUAAAAGUCACGCGGCUUGCCCGUUGCUGCGAUGAUCAAAAACUCGACGAUCGCACGCCCUUGGCCGCGACGCAUCAUCAAAUUUCUCCCACAACUUUCGAUGGUAGAUAUGGCCUACUAUGUGACGGUGACGGAGAAUUAGGUCGAUCCGGAAGGAACCCUGAAACGCUACCACAUCCAAGGAAGCAGCAGGCGCGCAAAUUACCCAAUCCUGACACGGAGUAUGACAAUAAAUAACAAUACCGGCUCAUACAGUCUGAAUUGGAAUGAUACAAUCUAAAUCCCUAACGAGGAUCCAUUGAGGCAAUCUGGUGCCACAGCCGCGUAAUUCACUCCAAUAGCGAUAUUAAUUGUUGCAUAAAAAGCUCGUAUUGACUUUGGUGUCGGCCGUCCGCCAUCAGGUUGCACCGUUUACUCGUCCCUCUGUCGGCGAUGCGCUCCUACCCUUAACUGGCGGGUCUGCCCGCUUGUUACUUGAAGAAAUUAGUGCUCAAAGCAAGCCUACCUCGUAUACAUAGCAUGGAUAACAUCAUAGGAUUCGGUCCUAUACGUUGCCUCGGGAUCGAGUAAUGAUAACAGGACAGUCGGGCAUUCGAUUCAAUCAAGUGAAAUCUGGAUUAAAAACGAACAAUGCGAAAGCAUUCCAAGGAUUUCAUUAAUCAAGAACGAAAUGGGGCUCGAAGACGAUCAAUACCGUCCUAGUCUCAACCAUAAACAUGCCGACCAGGAUCAGCGGAUUUCUUUAGGACUCCGCUGCACCUUAGAAAAUCAAAUUUUGGUUCCGGGAGAUGUCGCAAGCUGAAACUUAAAGGAAUGACGAAGGCACCACCAGAUGAGCCUGCGCUAAUUGACUCAACACGGGAAACUUACCAGUCCAACAUAGUAAGAUGACAGACUGAGAGCUCUUCUUAUUCUAUGGUGGUGCAUGGCCGUCUUAGUUGGUGAGCGAUUGUCUGUUAAUUCCGUAACGAACGAGACCUCAGCCUGCUAACUACUAUGGAGGAUCCCUCCAUGGCCAGCUUCUUAGAGGACUAUGCCUUUAGGCCACGAAGUUGAGGCAAUAACAGGUCUGAUCCCUUAAUGUUCUGGCCGCACGCGCCACACUGAUGUAUCAACGAUAUAUACCUGGCCGACAGCCCGGAAAUCUUGAAAUUCAUCGUGAUGGGAUAGAUCAUGCAAUGUUGGUCCUAAACGAGGAAUCCUAGAAGCGCAUCAUCAGCUCGCGUGACUACGUCCCUGCCCUGUACACACCGCCCGUCGCCCUACGGAUGAAUGUCCGUAAGUGUAGACGUGCGACGGGCGGUCGCUGCCCCGACUCGCAGAAAUCCACUGAACCUAUCAUAGAGAAGAGAAUCUAACAAGGUUCCGUAGAACCUGCGGAAG